rnacentral:tRNA from 1 species
AGGUCCGUAGCGCAACUGGAAGCGCACCCGGCUCUUACCCGGGGCGGUGAGGGUUCGAUCCCCUCCGGACCUA